CCUACGGGAGGCAGCAGUGAGGAAUAUUGGUCAAUGGGCGCGAGCCUGAACCAGCCAAGUAGCGUGAAGGAUGACUGCCCUACGGGUUGUAAACUUCUUUUAUAAAGGAAUAAAGUGAGGCACGUGUGCCUGUUUGUAUGUACUUUAUGAAUAAGGAUCGGCUAACUACGUGCCAGCAGCCGCGGUAAUACGGAGGUUCCGAGCGUUAUCCGGAUGUAUUGGGUUUAAAGGGAGCGUAGAUGGGGUGUUAAGUCAGUUGUGAAAGUUUGCGGCUCAACCGUAAAAUUGCAAUUGAUACUGGGAGUCUUGAGUACAGGUGGGGUAGGCGGAAUUCGUGGUGUAGCGGUGAAAUGCUUAGAUAUCACGCAGAACCCCGAUUGCGAAGGCAGCCUGCCAAGCCAUGACUGACGCUGAUGCACGAAAGCGUGGGGAUCAAACAGGAUUAGAUACCCGGGUAGUC
rnacentral:rRNA from 1 species